UACGGGGGGGGCGAGCGUUGUUCGGAAUUACUGGGCGUAAAGGGUUUGUAGGUGGCCUGCUAAGUCAGACGUGAAAUCCCUCAGCUUAACUGGGGAACUGCGUCUGAUACUGGCGGGCUUGAGGACAGGAGAGGAACGCGGAAUUCCAGGUGUAGCGGUGAAAUGCGUAGAUAUCGUAAGGAAGACCAGUGGCGAAGGCGGGUCUCUGGACAGUUCCUGACGCUGAGGCACGAAAGCUAGGGGAGCAAACAGG
rnacentral:rRNA from 1 species